UUUUUUAGUCGUGGGAGCAUGGGCAGGGAGAAGAGCGACAAGCCGCUUCCAGCUGGAACAGCCCGUCCCAACACGUUCCUGAGGGGCAGCAGCAAAGACCUGCUGGACAACCAGUCUCAGGAAGAGCAGCGCAGAGAGAUGCUGGAGACGGUGAAGCAGCUGACAGGAGGCGUGGACGCCGAGCGGGCCAGCACUGAGGCCGACCGAAGCAAAGCGAGGGAGCUAGUCAAGUCAGAAGUGUGCACAGUGCCAGCCCCCGACAAGCCUGCACUGUCAGAAGAGGAAGUAGAGAGGAAGUCCAAGUCUAUCAUUGACGAGUUCCUGCACAUCAAUGACUUUAAGGAGGCCACACAGUGCAUAGAGGAGCUGAGUGCCCAGGGCCCACUGCAUGUGUUCGUGAAGGUGGGUGUGGAGUUCACCCUGGAGCGGAGCCAGAUCACCAGAGAUCACAUGGGCCACUUACUGUAUCAGCUGGUGCAGUCGGAAAAGCUCAGCAAGCAGGACUUUUUCAAAGGCUUUUCUGAAACCUUGGAGUUGGCAGAUGACAUGGCCAUUGACAUCCCCCAUAUUUGGUUGUACCUGGCUGAACUAGUCACCCCCAUGUUAAAAGAAGGGGGAAUCUCCAUGAGAGAACUUAUUGUGUAAGUUGUUUUAGAGCCAUAAGAAAGUCAGCGCCUUAUGGAGGGAGGCCGACCUCAGCUGGAAGGACUUUCUACCAGAAGGGGAAGACGUACAUAACUUCCUUUUGGAGCAGAAGUUGGACUUCACGGAGUCAGAGGGACCCUGCUCCUCUGAAGCACUUUCAAAGAAAGAAUUGUCUGCUGAGGAGCUGUCUCAGCGCCUGGAGAAACUGAUCAUGGAGGACAAAGCAGAUGACGAGCGGAUCUUUGACUGGGUGGAGGUACAAACACUGACUGUGCUCUGCGGUCUCUGCAGAAUGGCCAGUGGGUUCCUCAGAGUUCACAUUACCAGUCCUUUACUAAAUACCUUUUACCCUUC
rnacentral:lncRNA from 1 species